ACUGUGAUUUAAAAUAAGAUUAUGAUUAAAAUAAGACUGUGAUUUAAAAUAAGUCAAUGAUUAUAAUAACACUGUGAUUUAAAAUAAUGCCCUUAUUCAUUAAAAACGAGUGAGAUUAAUAUAGGUUUUACAAGUGUUUUGUUUCUUUUCUACAUUUGCAAAAUGAAAGAGAAGAUUCCGAUUUUAAGACCAUUUUAACUAAAAUAGGUUUAAUCAGCAUUUAUGAAUAAGUGUGUUAGGUUGUAAUUAAAAUACGACUGUGAUUAAAAUAAGCCAAACAAAUAUUAUCAUUUAUUACAAACCCUACUCUUUUAUUUCACUUACCUUAGAGUAAUCGCCAAUUUUUCCACUGGAGCUAUGGGGAUGCGACGUAUGCUGGAUCUUCGUAAAGAAAACUCUAACUUGCACAGUAAUUCGUCGAAACUGCUGGUUGAUAGGCGAAAAUAUUUAUAAAAUUUAUAACUAUUUUCUCGUAAAUCAGAGAAAGAUGUUACGUGUUCGCCUCUCAGUAACCUUGUAGCGUUAUAAGGAUCAACACCUACUGUUCUUCGACGUUUUUGUUGCCUUUUUUUCCAUAAAAAGUAAAUAGCCAGUACUCUAACCGCAUUGCCGUUCAUUUUGUAUCUGUUUGUACACGACUGUCUCACAGCAGCGAAACGCGCCGUACUAAUUGAGGAGCGCCGUACUAGUUGGUGCACCGCUGUUCAAACGCGCGCUGUCCAACAGCGCGCUGUCCAACGGCGCGUCUAGCGGCGUGACUGUAAAACCAGCCUAAGAUCUACUGCAUUGCCGAAACCCACGAGCCAACAAUGGCAGUCAAUUGCAACCGACUUUGAUAAAUUUUGGAAUUUUCCUAACUGCAUUGGGGCCACAGAUGAUGUCGGAGCAUAUGGUCGAAAUAGCGAUGGCGGUAUACUUCAAAGCUCCAAAUUUGGUUCGAAACUACGUAAUGGUUUUUUAAGCAUACCACCGGAAAAAGCUUUACCACAUUCAACUCAAAAAUUACCCCACGUAUUUGUUGCUGAUGAAGCCUUUCCACUAACAAAAAAUAUUAUGAGACCAUACCCCUCACAUCUUUUAAAUGAUGAAAAAAAAAGGAUAUUCAAUUAUCGCUAAGUCGAGCACGGCGUAUUGUAGAAAAUGCUUUUGGAAUGUUACAAGAAAGAUUUGAACUAUUUCAAAAAGGUAUAAAAGUUCAACCAAAUUACGUUAACAACAUUAUACUAGCAAAAGCACGUGUUUGCAUAACUUUAUCAUUGAUGAUCAUUCUAUGGAGGCACUUGGCUCUAAUACUAAUAAUGCAAUCAAUAAAACCAAUGAUACAGUUUUCAAUAAUCUGGAAGGGAUGGUUGUAAGAGAUUGUUUUAACAUGGCGUGGAGUCGACGAGCAGCGUAGAGCGCGCCGGGCGGCGUGAUGAGCGCACCGGGCGGCAUGAUGUCAGCGUGGCGGCGCGGAGAGUGCCCCGGGCAGCGAUGUGCGCGAGCCAGGCGGCGCACCCUGCGCGCAGGGCCAUGACAUCAGCAGUGCAGUUGGGCGUCGCGCGUGAGCAAGCGACGCGGAGACAGCGCGCCUGGCAGCGGUAUGCGCGAGCCAGUGGCGCGGAUAGUGCGCAGUGCGCCAAGACACCAGUGCUGCAGUGCCGCGCAUAAUAAGCAGACGGCAAGGGGGCAGCAGGCGCGGCGGCGCGUGGUCGGCGCCGGAACGCGCCGUGUGCCAAAAAAAUCAGCACUGGGGCGCUGCACGAGUUGAGUAGAGGCGGCGAGGCAGGCCGGGCGCCAUGUCACCAGCGCUGGGUUGCCGCGCAACAAGGGCAAACGGCGAGUGAGGGCGGCGCAGCGACGCGUGGACGGCGUCGAAGUGCACCAGAUCCUGAAUCAGCGCUGGGGCGCACCAUUUAUGGACGAUUUUUCUUGAUUGAAUUUGAACAUUUCUUGUGAUUUCAGCUUUAUUUUUUCACUGUAUUGAAGUCUUGAAUACAUUUUUUCUGACACAAAACGGUUGCUAUGUUACGAUUUUUCUUUUGUUGCGUUGCGUGUUCAGAUCACGUCGGGGUCACCAAUAUCGCCAUUGAGGUUUUAUAUUAGUAUAUUGAUAUGAGGCGACGAUUGCAUUGAUGUAUAUUUAUUCUUACACUGAUAGUAACAAUUGUAAAAGGAUAUAAAAUAAAAGGUUAACAAAUAGAUGAAGCGGUAUGCGGAAUGGAGGAACGGUCAAGAUGUAAUGGAUGGGCGAAACAAUCUAUCCACGCAUGCGCGGUCGAGGGAAUUCUAAAUAUAAAAUGAAUCUGGAAUGUGAAUGUAGAUGAAGAUGUAGAUGGCCUGACCUAAAGUGGGCGAACGAAAGAGUUCGUUCGCCACAGUUUCACGGAAUAUUUUUCUAAUGUUGGUAACGUGUACUGGCAAAAUGAAAUUGUUAAUAGAUGUUAGUUUCUAUUUGUGACAAUAAAUAAGUAAAAAAAUAACUUACGGGUUUUAUUCAUUUCUUCUGCAAUUUUCUGCCAUGCGUUCCUUUUCAUAUGUUGAUCCAUGUAGAAACGAGAGGAGACAUCGUAUAUACACUCAUGCGAACGAACCAGAUUAAUCAAUUUCUCUUCAUCCAUUUUCCCGUAUUUUACGUGAAGUAAUUUACUGUAUCGCGUACGCACGUGCUAAUUUACUUGCCACGCUCAGUCAGUGUGAGAGAAAAAAUCGCGCGCGCCAGUGCGUUUUCUCCCUCCCUUGCCCCCGCGCACCGACCGGAAUGCGCCCCAUCGAAAUGCUGCACAAGUUUCAACCUUAUUUCAACUAGCUAGCAAUCAUAAUUCCUCGGUCCAAAAAUGACCCAUAUGUCUCACGGGAUGCAAUGGCGUGCCACGUCAUACCGCCGCAUCCUGCGGCGUGUCGCGUCAUGCCGCGGCAUCCUGCGGCACGUCGCGGCAUCGUGGUAUCAAAAUAAGGUAACGUAAAUUCUAAACUUAUUGAAAUAAGAUUCAAAAUAAUUUAAUUAGUAUUGAAAUCCUUUGCCAUGACAUGCCGUGCCGUGCCGGCAGUGGGCGCCGGCCCUUAGGUGUUUAAUAAAGGAUGUAGGACACUGGAAAAUUCAGCGUACUUACGUGAACAUUCUUUCUUGCUGACUCGAUUCUGUUUCUGGAAUCCUCACUGCGUGGCUACACGUUCGAUCUCGGUGAAACUUGAAAGUCUAUCGAGGUGAGAAGACGAUGCGAAGUUGGCACUAUUUCUCACGACUCGACCCGAGAUUCUACCGUAACUGCGCCAUUUACGUUCGCCGAUGCAGGAGUGUCCAGAAGAAAGAGUUCUUGGUUCUUAAAAAUGAAUUUAUUAAUAUAAAAAUUACAAAUUAAUUAAACUAACGACGUCUUCGAGCGUAAGUGAAGAAGUGUGGUAAUUUUCCAUGUCACUAUGCACCCGUGCGAUUUGCCGAAUCAGCGGUCUAGUUACGUACACGUGUUGAAUAAGGCCGCGAGUCCAAUACGGGCGGAGCGACGAGCGGAGCGGCAUGUAACACUCUUGAAAAUAGUCUCCAAGUGCUUGUAGUGUUGUUCUUCAGACUCGCUUGCCACUAGUAUAUCAUCGACAAAAACGAAAAUGUAAUCCAAAUCUCGAACUAUAGAAUCCAUAAAUCUUUGAAAUGUUUGUCCAGCAUUACGUAAUUCUGGAGGAAGGCGAAUGAACUCAAAUAAUCCAACUGGACAUACAAUCGCACUUUUUUCGGUUUCCGCUACUUCUAUAGAGUAAUAACCCAAGUAACACAUGACAGCCGUACAGUGGCUUGAUUACAGAAUUUUGUGACUACUUAGAGUUGUUUUGAUAUUCUGCACAAGGCCUGUACAGUUCGCUACGCAGCCCUUAUAACUCUAAUUUGGGCCCCAAAUUAACCAGCUCCGAGCAUUACAGUGGCUGGUUAACGGCAGUAUAAACAUUAAAACAGCUUCAAAAGGCCUGUAUAGUGGCUUAUACAGCUAUACGACAACCAUUUCAGCAUUAAUUUCAGCUAUUUUAAUUCUCUAUAACAGCUAUUAGAUGUUUUGACGCUUCGUAACAGCUUUAAAAUAUAAAUAACCAAAAAAAUUGUCUAUGAAAUAAUUAGUGUUCGGCGUUUAUGUGACAGGACAACGGCAUUAUAAAUAUUUAUAUUGAUUAGAGUGUGCAGGCCAUGGGGGUGAAACUUCCACACAGUUCGCUUACGUAAAAUAUUUUGUAUGAAGUGCUGUCUUCCAGCGCUCACGGUACAAAAACUUAAGCGAAGUUUUCUCAGGCACAAUAUAGAUGGCACGCAUGAAGCACAUUAUUUGAUUAAAAUCACUCCUGUUCAGUCUAUGAUAGUUUAAAAAAAUAUAGUUUCAAAUAUGACAGUUUAGCUGUCUUUGAAUUUUUUCUGUUGUUGCUAUAGUGAUGUUUAUGUUAUGUCAAUAAAAAGUCAGCACACAAUCGGGAUCAGAGUUUAAUUUAAAACAUGGUGACAGUGGUGAACGAAAAAUAUUAAAAUAAGACGUAAUCGGUACAAAUAAGUGUUUAUAAUAGGUAUUACUUGUGGAUUUGGUGUGCAUAGUGAAUAAUUAACCAUGGAACAUGCUCGACCACCAUCGGAAUUAUGCUCAGAAGGCGGCCCGGUGUGUCGCGAAACGGCGUGGCGAAAAUGUCGCCAGCAAUUUUACGAAUUCUUAAAGGUGAUCAGUGGUUAUUUAUAAUCAUAAACGUCAAUAUUCAUAGUUGGUGCACUAAUGUUAUCAGGCUGCUGAAGUGCAUUAAGAUAUUUUCAUAAUCACAAAAGAAAAAAUAAAUCGUUGAAUAAUAAGAA